rnacentral:piRNA from 1 species
UGCCAAAGUAACGAUUUCUGUGCUGGAAUU